rnacentral:rRNA from 1 species
CGACCGGCGCACGGGUGAGUAACGCGUAUCCAACCUGCCCACCACUUGGGAUAACCUUGCGAAAGUAAGACUAAUACCCAAUGAUAUCUCUAGAAGACAUCUGAAAGAGAUUAAAGAUUUAUCGGUGAUGGAUGGGGAUGCGUCUGAUUAGCUUGUUGGCGGGGUAACGGCCCACCAAGGCAACGAUCAGUAGGGGUUCUGAGAGGAAGGUCCCCCACAUUAGAACUGAGACACGGUCCAA